rnacentral:lncRNA from 1 species
UGCCGACCUCCCCAAAAGCAGUUCCCCCAGCAUAAGAUUAAAUGUUGGAUAGGUCCCACUGAGUAAAGAAGCUAUUUAGAUAAACUCCUCUACAUUCCUUUGUAUCUAUGCCCUAAGCUUUUAAGAUAACUCAACUGCUUUCAGCCAAACCUUUUACUGAAGGUAUGCAAACCCCCAGGUUCCAAGAAGAUUUGUGACUAUUUCCUGUAACUAUCUUUAUAAUUUUUCUUCUAAAAUAUUUACCACCACCUUGACUGAAGUCCCAAAAUUGAGAAGACAGGGAAGGGCAUCAGACAAGCAAGAAAAAAUUAGAACAAGUUUGACCAUAAGAAAGUAAAAUGUUGGUCAGGUCUUUCAACACAGAUCAAAAAAAAAAAAAAAAAAAAAAGGGAGAUUAGGGCCAUGCUAUGAGGACACUGAAUGGCAGCCUACGUAAUGGGAACUUCAUCCUACAGAUAAGAGAAGUCACUGGAAAGCUUUGAGAAGGUCACAAACAUGACAAACAGCAUUUCCAGGAAGAUUACUCUGACCAGCAUUAGGCAGAAAAAGUUGGGAAAUGAUCUUCAACUUUGGACACUUAAUAGAAAUAUCUAACAGAUCUAUAUUUCUUUUCUUUUCUUUUCAUGUUUAAUUUUGAAAUAAUUUCAGACUUUCUAAAAUGUUCCAAAAAUAGGCAAAGUCCUCAUAUGCUUUUCAUUCAACUUCCCCAAAUAUUUACAUUAUAGAUAUGCACCUAAUAAUCAAAAUCAAUAAAUGAUUAUUAACACUGUAAAAUGAAUGUCUGUACAGACCUUAUCCAAAUCCUCUGUAUCUUCUGACUAAUGUCCUUUUUCUGGACCAGGAUCCAAUCUCGUAUCACAUAUUGCUCUUCAUUGUACUGUUCUCUCAGUCUCCUAUAAUCUGGGAAAGUUAGGAUUUACCUUUAAGAGCUUCGCAAUUUUGAAGAGUAUUGGUUACUUAUUUUGUAGCAGAUCCUCAUUUUGGACUUUUCUAAUAUUUUCUCAUGAUUAAACUCAGGUUAUACAGUUUGUAGAAGAAUACCACAGGGAUGAUGCUGCACCUUCUCCAUCCAUUGUAUUAGAAUGCCCUAAUAUGUUGUUAUCUCUGACUACUGAAGACAUUAACUUUGAUCACUGGGUUAAAGUUCCUCCACUGCAAAAUGACCCUUUUCCUUGAAUGCAUUUUUAAACUAUCAACCUCUGGGCUACACCACACAUCAACCAAAUCAGAUAGGCUUGAGGGAUGGUACAGGCAUUGGUAGGCUUUAAAUGCUCUACAGGUGACUGUAAUCAAUAUCUGGAAAUGCAAACAUAUGGCUUAGACAGUGAAGAUUAGAAUCCUGAAAAUCAGCUAGGAGACAAUUCCUAAGGCUUCUCUUUAAAAAAAAAAAAAAAAAAAA